rnacentral:tRNA from 1 species
UGGAUCACCUCCUAACAGGGAGACAAACAACGAUUUUGAUGUCUGAGUUUUUUUAUUCUUAGGCCAAAAUCCUGUCACCUUAGGUCGAUCGGUACCUCAACCUUGAAGCUAAGAGUAUUCAGCAAUGGAUAUCUGCUUAGUGGAGAUUUUUAGUUCCUAAACUUUGUCUAGUUCACAACCCAUUAGGGAUGAGACUCCUGGGCCAUUAGCUCAGGUGGUUAGAGCGCACCCCUGAUAAGGGUGAGGUCCCUGGUUCAAGUCCAGGAUGGCCCAUUCGGUGUAGGGGGUUUAGCUCAGUUGGUAGAGCGCCUGCUUUGCAAGCAGGAUGUCAGGAGUUCGAGUCUCCUAACCUCCACUGACUACCAAAAUCCCCAUCUCCAAAACCUGGAGUAUGAACUCGUAUGGAUUGUGAUUUAGAUGUGUCCGCUAGAUGACCCUAGCUUCUUGUCAUUUUAAGGCAUGGAAAUAGUUCCAUGAUAUUUAAUUGAUAGGAUGCUGGGCUCGAUUCAAUGUAUUGAGAGAUCAAUGCAUUGUUUUGAUGUCUGGUCGAACCUUGACAACUGCAUAGUAAGUCUGGAAAGAAUAAAGCAUCUUUAUGGAUGCAUCAUUCUUGAGUGUUAAUUCACGAUGGGAUGGUGUUAAUUCUAAAGCAAGAGCCGAGACUCCAGCAUGUUCUUUCAAAUGUGUCGAGCAUUUGAGAGUUUGAUUUUAAUUUCUAUUUUUAGAAGUUAGAAGAAUCUGUUUCAACGACAGCAAGCGUGUUGGAGAUACAUUGGUCAAGCUACAAAGGGCUCACGGCGGAUACCUUGGCACACAGAGGCGAUGAAGG